GACGAACGCUGUUGGCGUGCUUAACACAUGCAAGUCGAACGGAAAGGCCCUGCUUUUGUGGGGUGCUCGAGUGGCGAACGGGUGAGUAACACGUGAGUAACCUGCCCUUGACUUUGGGAUAACUUCAGGAAACUGGGGCUAAUACCGGAUAGGAGCUCCUGCUGCAUGGUGGGGGUUGGAAAGUUUCGGCGGUUGGGGAUGGACUCGCGGCUUAUCAGCUUGUUGGUGGGGUAGUGGCUUACCAAGGCUUUGACGGGUAGCCGGCCUGAGAGGGUGACCGGCCACAUUGGGACUGAGAUACGGCCCAGACUCCUACGGGAGGCAGCAGUGGGGAAUAUUGCACAAUGGGCGGAAGCCUGAUGCAGCAACGCCGCGUGCGGGAUGACGGCCUUCGGGUUGUAAACCGCUUUCGCCUGUGACGAAGCGUGAGUGACGGUAAUGGGUAAAGAAGCACCGGCUAACUACGUGCCAGCAGCCGCGGUGAUACGUAGGGUGCGAGCGUUGUCCGGAUUUAUUGGGCGUAAAGGGCUCGUAGGUGGUUGAUCGCGUCGGAAGUGUAAUCUUGGGGCUUAACCCUGAGCGUGCUUUCGAUACGGGUUGACUUGAGGAAGGUAGGGGAGAAUGGAAUUCCUGGUGGAGCGGUGGAAUGCGCAGAUAUCAGGAGGAACACCAGUGGCGAAGGCGGUUCUCUGGGCCUUUCCUGACGCUGAGGAGCGAAAGCGUGGGGAGCGAACAGGCUUAGAUACCCUGGUAGUCCACGCUGUAAACGGUGGGUACUAGGUGUGGGGUCCAUUCCACGGGUUCCGUGCCGUAGCUAACGCUUUAAGUACCCCGCCUGGGGAGUACGGCCGCAAGGCUAAAACUCAAAGGAAUUGACGGGGCCCCGCACAAGCGGCGGAGCAUGCGGAUUAAUUCGAUGCAACGCGUAGAACCUUACCUGGGUUUGACAUGGAUCGGGAGCGCUCAGAGAUGGGUGUGCCUCUUUUGGGGUCGGUUCACAGGUGGUGCAUGGCUGUCGUCAGCUCGUGUCGUGAGAUGUUGGGUUAAGUCCCGCAACGAGCGCAACCCUUGUUCACUGUUGCCAGCACGUUAUGGUGGGGACUCAGUGGAGACCGCCGGGGUCAACUCGGAGGAAGGUGGGGAUGACGUCAAGUCAUCAUGCCCCUUAUGUCCAGGGCUUCACGCAUGCUACAAUGGCUGGUACAGAGAGUGGCGAGCCUGUGAGGGUGAGCGAAUCUCGGAAAGCCGGUCUCAGUUCGGAUUGGGGUCUGCAACUCGACCUCAUGAAGUCGGAGUCGCUAGUAAUCGCAGAUCAGCAACGCUGCGGUGAAUACGUUCCCGGG
rnacentral:rRNA from 1 species